rnacentral:rRNA from 1 species
GACGGAGGGUGCAAGCGUUGCUCGGAAUCACUGGGCGUAAAGGGUGCGUAGGCGGUCUCGCAAGUCUGGCGUGAAAGCCCAAGGCUCAGCCUUGGAAGUGCGCUCGAAACGGCGAGGCUGGAGUGCCGGAGGGGAGAGUGGAAUUCCCGGUGUAGCGGUGAAAUGCGUAGAGAUCGGGAGGAAUACCCGUGGCGAAGGCGGCCCCCUGGGCCGAACCUGACGCUGAGGCGCGAAGGCUAGGGGAGCGAACGGG